rnacentral:rRNA from 1 species
GACGUAGGGGGCAAGCGUUGUCCGGAAUCAUUGGGCGUAAAGCGCGUGUAGGCGGCCAGGUAAGUCCGUUCUGAAAGCCCGGGGCUCAACCCCGGGAGGCGGAUGGAUACUGCUUGGCUCGAGUCCGGAAGAGGCGAGUGGAAUUCCCGGUGUAGCGGUGAAAUGCGCAGAUAUCGGGAGGAACACCAAUGGCGAAGGCAGCUCGCUGGGACGGUACUGACGCUGAGACGCGAAAGCGUGGGGAGCAAACAGG